rnacentral:lncRNA from 1 species
GAGCUUAAGGGAUAUCUAAGGAAUGAAUUUGGGAUUUUCAGUCAGUAUUAAGGAAAACCUCUUCCGAAGCUGUGGCAGCAAGAAUAAAUAGCUUAAAAGAAGUUAACAAGCUUUGAAUAGAAUCGAACCGUUAAGCUUUUUACAACUGAAUGUUUAUUUUUGCUCUGCAGAAGCAGUGAUAUGUAUUUAGUGAGGUGUUUUGGAUAUCUCUGAGCUUUAAAGCUGAAGUUCUGCAUGGUGGUGUGUUUGCUGCAGCUGAGGCUGGAGAACCGAUCUGGACUAACACAAACGGGUUUAUCUCUGCCAGGAUGCUUUGCACUCAGGACCUCACACUAAUCAAGGUAAAAUACAUGGAGCAUAUCCUUGACAUGAAUCUUGCUGCUGGUAUAAGUGCCUCAGAACUUGACAAACUUCACCAAGGCAGCUGCAGGACAAAUUCUUGAAGACAUUU